UACGGAGGGGGCUAGCGUUGUUCGGAAUUACUGGGCGUAAAGCGCACGUAGGCGGACCAGCAAGUUAGGGGUGAAAUCCCGGGGCUCAACCCCGGAACUGCCUUUAAAACUGUUGGUCUGGAGGUCGAGAGAGGUGAGUGGAAUUCCGAGUGUAGAGGUGAAAUUCGUAGAUAUUCGGAAGAACACCAGUGGCGAAGGCGGCUCACUGGACUGGUAUUGACGCUGAGGUGCGAAAGCGUGGGGAGCAAGCAGG
rnacentral:rRNA from 1 species